AUUGAACGCUGGCGGCAGGCCUAACACAUGCAAGUCGAACGAGUGGCGGACGGGUGAGUAAUGUAUGGGGAUCUGGCUGAUGGAGGGGGAUGACUACUGGAAACGGUAGCUAAUACCGCAUACCAUCAGAUCGGCCCUUAUGGGAUUAGCUUGUAGGUGGGGUAACGGCUCACCUAGGCGACGAUCCCUAGCUGGUCUGAGAGGAUGAUCAGCCACACUGGGACUGAGACACGGCCCAGACUCCUACGGGAGGCAGCAGUGGGGAAUAUUGCACAAUGGGCGAAAGCCUGAUGCAGCAAUGCCGCGUGUAUGAAGAAGGCCUUCGGGUUGUAAAGUACUUUUAGUAGGGAGGCGUUACCGACAGAAGAAGCACCGGCUAACUCCGUGCCAGCAGCCGCGGUAAUUC
rnacentral:rRNA from 1 species